rnacentral:tRNA from 1 species
GCGGACAUAGCUCAGUUGGUAGAGCGCAACCUUGCCAAGGUUGAGGUCGCGAGUUCGAGCCUCGUUGUCCGCU